UACGGGGGGGGCAAGCGUUGUUCGGAAUUACUGGGCGUAAAGGGCUCGUAGGUGGCCAACUAAGUCAGACGUGAAAUCCCUCGGCUUAACCGGGGAACUGCGUCUGAUACUGGAUGGCUUGAGUUUGGGAGAGGGACGCGGAAUUCCAGGUGUAGCGGUGAAAUGCGUAGAUAUUGGGAGGAACACCAGUGGCGAAGGCGGUCCCCUGGGCCGGAACUGACGCUGAUGCGCGAAAGCGUGGGUAGCAAACGGG
rnacentral:rRNA from 1 species